GUUUAAUUAGUAUAAAAAGUACAAUUAAUUUCCAAUUAAUAAGUUUUCUUAAAUUAAACA
rnacentral:tRNA from 2 species